UAUAAACAAAGCAUCAGGCUGUCUUUGAGAUUUCACAUGAACAACGGUUAAAGUUACUCAGGCUACCGAAGAAUACCAUAAUUCCUCUGUUGAAUUAGGCCUAAGCGACGCACCCCAAGCUUCCAUCCUUAACCAACAGUGAAUCAGUCGUGCUAUUAACGUCAUCACUACACAAUUUCUUAGUAAAACCAAAAUGAAUUAAACUGCCUUGUUUUCUUUUUGCCAUGGCUAUAUGAUGCUAACUGCAGAAUAGAUUUAAAGGACUUUGCGCGCCGAUUAAUGGCCUCCAACAUUUAUAUUUUUUCUACGAAUCUUUGUGUUAACAUGUACUAAACAUGAGUUGAAUUUGCACCGCAGUGCCGCCACGCCUUGAUGCUCAUGACAAGAAUAGCACCUUUAGUGAAUUAGGUUUAAAUUGCCGUCAAUGAUAUUUUUGCAAUUUUACACAUAACAAUCCACGAUGAUCACAUUACACAAAACUGAAAUUGCACGUCAAAAUGACACACUGUUAAUAUUUUUAGAGAACCCCCCCACCCAAAUAUUUCACAAAUCACGUUUUCAGG